UGAUUACAUAUGGCAUUUUUAAGAUAUGCUCCAUCAUUAAUGAAUUAUGAAUAGAAGGUUGUUACUAAAUGACUCUUUUUUCCUUUAAAUUUUUUUUUUUUUUCCGUUGCCAAUUUCUUUUUAAGUUUCAGGUGAUCUCAUAAUUCAAGUGAAGGGAAGUAGAUAUUUGCUUCACAAGGUCACACAUUGCAGCUUCAAGCAUUCUUCAAAUCUUGCAUACUCCAUGGCUGGAUGGACAAAAUUUCCACACUUACACUCUACAAAGCACGAAGCUGACAACCUUUCAGAUCAGUUCACACGAAUGAGCUUCGUGGUUGUUGUACAUAGUGUUAAAUGAACAUGUGAAAUUUUUUUUUCAAAUUGAAAACUUCAUUUGAUUAUGGGUAGUUGUUAGUUCACUUAGAACGACAGAAAUUGAUAACUGUUAUGCACCCCUAAAUGCAGUUAUUUUUGUCUAUACAAGUGGUUUCAUUUGUCAUAAUACCAAGUCCCACAGCAAAGCGCGGGUAAAUUUUCUAGUAAAUUUCUAUUCGUAUUGUA